AUGCCAUGGCGGAGCAGCAGCCGGCGCACCACAAUUGAUGUCAGGGUUCCGGCAGGUGCAGGAGGAACUGGGUACAACUUCUACCUCCUCAAGCAGGAUCGGCUAAUGGACGGCCAAAUCUACGGCCAGCUCGUGAGCAAGGAAGCCGAGACGGCCAAGGCCGCGGAGAACCCCAACUUCAUCACCGAGCAAAGGGUGUUGUACAAGGCCAUGCACGCUCGUGCUGCCUGCAACGCAGUCACGACACAGUCGGACACGGAGGCAGCGCAGGCGGUCGCGAAUGAGAAUGUCGGCAGCUGCGCACCCUUCGCGCUACCAAUGAAGUUUCAAGGCCCACAGCUCCACUUCCCUUUUAUUUCCGCCGCCACGCCACACCAUCUCGGCCAAGGACAAGGCUCCGGCUGCCGCCACCGCCUCUGCCCCGGCUAUAAAGCCGCGCCCUUUGGCCGGUCCGCUCCUCCUCCUCCUCCUCUCUUCGUCCGGGCCGCGCCCCUCGCCUGCUCGCCGUGCUCUGCCCGGUCCGCUCCUCCUCCUCUUCGUCCGGGCGGUGCCUCUCUCCUCCGGCGCCCCGCCGCGCUCUGGCCGGUCCGCUGCUCCUCCACCCUUCGCCCGAGCCGUGCAUAUGUCCUCCUCGAGCCGGGUUUUAUCUUGCUCGCCAUCCUCGAUCGAUUUGCCCGUCUAGAAUCGUGUCUGGAUUUGAUUUUGCUCGUCCUCGGUCGAUUUGUCCGUUCAGGGUCGCGUCCGGAUUUGAUUUUGCUCGCCGUCACCGUCGCCUUCGCCGAGACGCUUUGGAUCCUGCGUUUCUUUGUGUUCGUGUCAGCGCGAGCGUUACAGGAACGGUCGGGUCUUGGUUUUGAAUUUGGGUUGCGGCCGGAGAUGGAGAGGCGGAGAGCACUUUGUCGUCUCCCCAUGUAUGGGGAUGUGUUGAGGGAUGCAAACCAUUAUGUUGCUCUUUCCAGGACCGAUAAUUCUGAUAGUAUGCCAAGGACUGCUCAGGGUUCCUAUCGCUUUUUGUUUUACCAACUAAGUAGUGGCCUCCUGGCUUGUAGUUGGGUAAUGCAGAGAGAGAAUCCAGGGGUGGUCUUUGGACGUUUUUCUGUAUAUGCAAGUGUGGAAGAUGACGAAAUUAUUGACCUUGUAAACAAGUAUGGACUAACAAACUGGUCUCGUUGCAAGGUCAGCUACCAGAACUUCCUGCUUCUGAUCCUGCUACUCGGCAUGCUCGGCGUGUUUACUUCUGUGGACUUCCUCCGAUCGCUAAUGAACAGGUGGCAUAAUCAUCUGAAUCCAAACAUAUGGAACGAUGCUUGGACUACUGAGGAGGAACAUGCACUGAUUAAUGCCAUCAGGCAUGCCAAGAACUUCGUGAUUUCUUUCUCAAGCUGUAUGAGGUUGUUUGUCCCAAGCAACCGGGCGCUGCUAGCUAGGCAAGUUGAGUGA
rnacentral:rRNA from 1 species